rnacentral:rRNA from 1 species
AACGAACGCUGGCGGCAUGCCUAACACAUGCAAGUCGAACGAAGGCUUCGGCCUUAGUGGCGCACGGGUGCGUAACGCGUGGGAAUCUGCCCUUUGGUUCGGAAUAACAGCUGGAAACGGCUGCUAAUACCGGAUGAUGACGAAAGUCCAAAGAUUUAUCGCCAGAGGAUGAGCCCGCGUUGGAUUAGGUAGUUGGUGGGGUAAAGGCCUACCAAGCCGACGAUCCGUAGCUGGUCUGAGAGGAUGAUCAGCCACACUGGGACUGAGACACGGCCCAGACUCCUACGGGAAGCAGCAGUGGGGAAUAUUGGACAAUGGGCGCAAGCCUGAUCCAGCAAUGCCGCGUGAGUGAUGAAGGCCCUAGGGUUGUAAAGCUCUUUUACCCGGGAAGAUAAUGACUGUACCGGGAGAAUAAGCCCCGGCUAACUCCGUG